CCUACGGGGGGCAGCAGUGAGGAAUAUUGGUCAAUGGGCUUACGCCUGAACCAGCCAAGUCGCGUGAGGGAAGACUGCCCUAUGGGUUGUAAACUUCUUUUGUCAGGGAGCAAUUGAGUCCACGUGUGGGCUUAGCGAGAGUACCUGAAGAAAAAGCAUCGGCUAACUCCGUGCCAGCAGCCGCGGUAAUACGGAGGAUGAGAGCGUUAUCCGGAUUUAUUGGGUUUAAAGGGUGCGUAGGCGGAAUAUCAAGUCAGCGGUAAAAAUUCGGGGCUCAACCCCGUCGUGCCGUUGAAACUGAUGUUCUUGAGUGGGCGAGAAGUAUGCGGAAUGCGGGGUGUAGCGGUGAAAUGCAUAGAUAUCACGCAGAACUCCGAUUGCGAAGGCAGCAUACCGGCGCCCAACUGACGCUGAAGCACGAAAGCGUGGGUAUCGAACAGGAUUAGAUACCCGAGUAGUC
rnacentral:rRNA from 1 species